GCCAGGUGUGGUGCUGCACACCUGUAAUCCCAGCUACUCGGGAGGCUGAGGCAGAAGAAUCACUUGAACCCAGGAGGUGGAGGGUUCAGUGAGCCGAGAUCGUGCCACUGUACUCCAGCCUGGGUGACAGAGUGAGACUCCAUCUUUC
ensembl:misc_RNA Metazoa_SRP Metazoan signal recognition particle RNA